UAUCAAUGGAUCUGCAGGCUGCAAGGGGC
rnacentral:piRNA from 1 species